UGAUUUAAUUGUAUAAAAAUAUUUAAAUCAUUCAAUAUCCACUGAUUUUAUAUAAAAUAUAUUUUAAUAGUAGUAUUCUCAUUGACAAAGCGCAUUAGGCAAACAUAAAAAUAUUUAUAAAAUUGAGUACUCACCUAAAUCAGUUGUUAACUGUGUAAAUUUUAGAGGAACAGCAUUUUUCCUUAAUAACUUUCUUUGGCCACUUUGGUAAAUAUAUUCCACUGCAAAAUGAUGCUGGCAAAUUACCCUCUGUUUAAGGUCAGUGAUAUCCAUCAAUAAAAUAUCAAUGUUCCCGCAGUUUUUUUGCCAAAUUUUUGUACGCUCUACGUCUUUCAGUGGAAAUUUAAAGAAAGAUAUAUUAUUAUUUGUUCCAUCGUUUCUUUCAAAACAUCCCGCGUAAACACACUUAUGAGUUACAGAGGCCAUUUUGUCUAAAAUAUGAGUCCUUUUUUUAUAAAAUUCCGCUCUAAUUUGUCACAACACCUGCCUGUCACAGAUAAUACACCUAUAGGGUAAGUUCGGCCCUGACACUACUCCUACCUCCUCGCAAGUCAGAGAGAGAAUGAGAAAUCUCGAUACGGUUUUCGAGUAGCGCCAUCUAGUUGUUGAUACGUCUUUCGGUUGCCAAGAGGUGAGCUAUCUAUGGGUUUUUUUAAUCAAUGGUAUAAUUAUGAACUUUAUUUAGUCGUGAAUAAUGAAUCAUAAUUCACAGGUCAUAAAUAAAUGACAAUUUGAGUUUAUUUAUAUAAAAAUACAACAACUUACAUCUGAAGAAAAAAUAAAAAACUUCUUACACCGUAGGGGAUCGAACCUAUAUGUUUAGAAUAGUAUUUGGGGUUUAAAAUCUUAAUUUCAUUGCUUUUGUUCCAAUUAAACAAGUUACACCAAAAUCAAGUAGUAUCUACUACAUUUUUGAUUUAAAAAAAUUCAUGUGUAGUACAAAAACGUUUUCAUUUUGCUUUAUUUAUUUAAAAACCGUGCUUAUUACCUAUUUUUUGUGGCACUGUCCAUAUUUCGCAUACAUUUUUAAUGGGAAAGUUCUGUUUUCCAAUCCUCUUUUAAAAAACAGAAACUAAAGGUCAGUCUACUUGGCUACAUACUCAAAUGUACGUACUUCUGAUACUUUAACUAGUUCUGUCUCGUAGGCUUCCUCAGGACUUGUAUCAGACAGCAAAAGUUGCCAAAUUACUUAUCGCUGUUAAUAGUGGACAAGUAGCAAAGUAUAAAGGAAAAUCCCUUGACGAAAUAACUUUGUCAGACAAUGAAUCAUUGCUGGAUGAGACUGAAGCAGGAAAACCUUUAUUUCAUGAUCAAAAUAUUAAUGAAAAUGAAAUAGAAGAGACGUGGGAACAGCAAUUCGGAGAACAAGCAAUGAAAAAUGCGGUAUUAGGUAAUUAUCUAUUUUUCCUUAUCCAGAACUAAGAAUUUAAAGAACGUGGAAUGAAAGAUAAACUGUUAUGUUUUAGAUGAAAGGGAAAAUAGUAUAAAAAAAGGAAAGCGAGGAAAGUGGAAUUCAGAGCAAAAAAA
rnacentral:lncRNA from 1 species